AUUGGCAGUUACUUUAGAUUGAUGAUAAAUGAGUGGGAAACAGUAGGGCUCUUUUUUCUUUGAAGCUGAACGGAUGCUGGUUUGGUGAGAAGCCGAAGGAGAGAGAGAUGUGAUUGACUAGAAAAGCCAGAUUUGUGAGAUCUAGAAAGCAGCUAUGUUUCAGUCACAUCCUGCUUCUUUUCCCAGAAGAGUUACAGGUAGAUAGAACCCUGAUUAAAAACAUAGGAGGAUCCACCUCUUCCUACUUUUCCUAUUUUUGGUCUUACUAUUCCUUUUAUCCAAGCUCUGUGGCUUACAUGAAUUCCAUAGCACCAUUUCCCCUUAGAGAAAGGAAGAUGAAUUUGGGGUUGAAAGACUUGAAAUGGAAUCCUCCUUUGCCACGUACAAAUCUGUGUGGCUCUGGGUUCCUGACUUGUCAUCUCAACAAGACUGCACUUUGCUUGAGGACCCUUCUCUGAUCCACAAUCAUGAAAGUACCUCUGAGCAGAAAACCAGGGCUACUGGAGGCCUCACCUCAUUUGAUUCCAUUCUCUGAGGAGACACAAUCUUGAGCUUUCCGUUAUCAAAUGUCAUGUCUACUUACCUAGUUUUUUUAUGAAGGGAGGGCAAAUCUGGAGCUGAUCACCCUGUUAUAGACAGAAGCAGAAGUCUGAUUUGGUCCUUGGAAUGUUGCUUUUCCGCACCAGAGUGCAAUAGGUUUUUUUUUUUUUUUAAUUAAAAAAGAAGAAACCCAACAAAAUAAAAUCUAAAAACAAUCUCAACAAAAUUUCUGUAUCUCAAAAAGACAAGGCAACACUUAAAUUAUCAUAAGAGCAAUACGGGCUCAGUUCAGAAAGGAAGAUAACAAGGGCCUAGAGUGGUCCAGGAAGAGUCAACAGAAGAGAAUUGUGCAAAGCUCAGAGAGAUAAAUUUGAUAAAAAAUACUUAAAAAUAAUAAAGCCAAAUUUGUGUGUGUGUUUGUGUGUUUGAGAGAGAGUAUGUUCCAAUUUUGCUGAAGCAUAAUGGUCUUACAGGAAAAUAGAUGGUGAUCCAGCUAGAAUUAUAAGCUGGGGCAAUAGUAAAGGGUUUUAAAGAUUAAAUGUGGAGAAAAGGACAUUCUGAGUAUUUGCAGAAGCUGCCAUUUCUAACUGGAAAUCAAGUCCUUCUGUCUGCUUGAGCCAUUGAGUCAAUUCUGGAGCACAAGGAGAGGUGUCAGUUCCCGAAAACACUUUUUUGUUGACGGUGCCAUCUUCAUCCUUCAGUCUGUUUUACCCUGGCAAUGUCAAGUAGUAAUAAGCAUAUCUUAAAAUAACAAUAACCUUUCAAUACAAAAGGUUCUUAAUGUACCCUUUGCUCAUUGCUUAAAUAAGUAUUGUACCAGCACUCACUCCAUAAUGUGCUGAAAGGCAGCUAUUUAGGGAAAGCAAGAAAAACCCAACAACUAUUUACUGACUCCAAGUAAUAGCAAGAGUAGAAAAGGUAUCUCUUUUGGAACACAUGGACACAUAGAGGGGAAGAACACAAACUGGGUCUUUCGGAGGGUGGAGGGUGAGAAGAGAAGAAGGAUCAUGAAAAAUAACUAAUGGAUACUAGGCUUAAUACCCGGGUGAUGGAAUAAUCUGUACAACAAACCCCAUGAUACAAGUUUACCUAUGUAACAAACCUGCACUUGUAC
rnacentral:lncRNA from 1 species